GUCAAAUAUAACCAACACUGACCAUCCUGGUGUAGGCUGAUGUUCAAACUUGAAAGGGCCUGAGCUUCACCGACAACCAGUGCCUCUACUGUAUAUGGUUUUCCCGUGAAAGGUGGCAUCAUCAACUAUGUGACCAGGAUGAUCCGCAAGCACAGAGCCACACACCAUAAUAUCCACUGAAAGCAUCUGUAUCCAUUCCUGUCUCAAGUCUCAAGUGUGUAUUUGGACAGUUAAGGGAGAGAAAAGCCAGGUGUGAAACAAAGCCAAGAUAUGAAGAGUUUCUUUAUAAGGAAGAAGAAAAGUAGAGAGCCAGCCAUAGACAGCAGUGCAGUGGCCUGUUAGACAAGUCACCACCAACCUGAGAUUAGGCAUGCAGCGAUGAGCACCCAUCAGUGUCUGCAGAUCUAUCUGCUGUUUUGUGAUAGAGAGGCACUUUACCUCGGGGUAUCCAGCAGCAUUCAAGCCUUAAUAACAGCGACGAGUACCCUCCAGCAGUGUCUGCACGUCAGGGCAUGUCAAGCGGCUAUUGAGAGGCUCUUCCAUUUGGAUCCAACCUGAACCUCACAGUAUAUUAUCACAUUUUACUGUAGCAUUCAGUCUUAGACACCAUUCUGAGUGGCUUAGUAUUACCACACAACAUUUUCAAUAUCAGUGUGCUCAUUGUGAUCUGGUCAUGGAAAAAACAAACAGGAUAACUUAAAAAAAAGAGAGAUACCAGAUGAUAUGGUGACAGACGAGGCAGAGUUUGCCAUACAGUAUAAGGAUGGAUGAGGUGACCAGCACAGCACACGCCUUGGCGAACCUUAACUGGCCAGGGAGGGAGCAGCCUGUGUACUGUGACCCCCGGGGACAACCUCAACAUUGGUGUGGUAAGUCUGCCGCCUGUACAGUGUUGUUACUGGUGCUGUAGUGAGUCGUGUGGUUACUGUAGUCGCACUAUUAAAUGUGUAUUGAUUAUAAUAUAUGUCACCAAGCUGGAUAAAAAACAUGGUUAUUGCCCCCAAAAAAUGAUUUACCAAAUAAACCAUGUUUUUGGUUUUGAAGUUUUUUAUGAGCUUUACCGCAAUUAAUUGCAUUUAUCUUUCAUAUAUCAAUGGAGAACUGUCCAGUACAAUAUAUUUUCAUUAUAAAUAGCUGAAGACUAUUUAAUUUACAUUUUUGGUUCUCUGUUUACUGUUGAAAUGUUUGCAAUAUGAUUGUGUCUAGUGAAGCAUAAACCGGGAAAUAAUAUGAAUCAUAAUAAAGUCCAAGGGACAUCACGCCCACCUAUGUCUUUGUUUUAUCCUCCAACUGAUAAUAAUGACAAGUUGAAAAAAUAUUUGGUCAAAUAGGCUUAUAAAAUGAAGACUAUACAGCACUGUACCGAAUAACAGCUCAUUGCACCAAAUUCACUAAUUAUUCAAUACUUGAAGCAGCUUUGGUGGGCGACUCAAAUGGAAAUUCAAUGAUAAAAUAAUUACAGUAAAUUCCUUAAACUAAUUGUAUUAUGCUGCAUUAAGACACGGCCCUACUGUUUAUUGCAAGCAUUUCAAGUAAACAGAAAACCAAGACCUUAGGUAUGCACAUGCAGGGGUAGAGACCACACAAUGUUAU
rnacentral:lncRNA from 1 species